rnacentral:lncRNA from 1 species
CACAGGCUGCAUCCAGGGGCCCUGUCUCCUCAGUGCCUUUCUGCCUGGCGCAGGCUCUCGGCCAUCCCUUGACUUUCAAGACCUGGACACAUCUGAGCGUGACAGUCGGUGUGAGUGUGUCUGAUGGUUCUCGUGAUGAGAUUUGAACCUCACACCUGUGGCGCGUGUUACAGAGGUGAGGGUGUGGACAGCGACCGUGCAUACAUCCCUCCUGGUGGUCAUGCAAUCCCUUGAUGAAAGGGCUCUCAGAUUCCUCCACUCUCUUCUCCUACACGGUCAACUGUUAUUUUGAGGGGAGAUAUUUUGAAUCUUCAGAAAUAUUUCAUUCUUACUCAAAAUUUAGUUUACUCUUAUUCAUGUGUUCUUGUGGCUUCCUGAUUUGUUCAGUAAAUUUUAAUACGAUUCUCUCAUUGUUGGUUUUUGCAGCUCAUAUUGCUCUUGAUUUCACCAGGGGAGCUGGCUUGUUGGGAUUGAGAUAUGAGGUGUCCCCCAAAACUUAAGUGUGAGACAAUGAAAGACUGUCAGGGUAAAAUGGUUAGAUUUCAAGUGGAUUAAUCUACAGAUGAGGAUUAACUGGAUGCUGACUGCAGGCAGGUGGGGUGUGGCUGGAAGAAGUGGGUCACUGACUGUGCCUUUGGGUAUACAUUCUGUUCCUGCUCCCUGGUUGCCAUGUUCUGAGCUGCCCCCCUCCUCCAGGCCCUUCUGCCAUGAUGCUCUGCCUCACUGUGGGCAGUUGGCUGACCAUGGACUGAACCUCUGAAAUCAUGAGGCCCAAAUAAACUUUUCCUCCUCUCAGUUGUUCUUCUCAGGUCUUUUGAUCACGGUGAGUAAAGCAAAACCAUAGCUUCUGGGUCCUUCCGAU